rnacentral:rRNA from 1 species
UACGGGGGGGGCAAGCGUUGUUCGGAAUUACUGGGCGUAAAGGGCUCGUAGGUGGCCAACUAAGUCGGACGUGAAAUCCCUCGGCUUAACCGGGGAACUGCGUCCGAUACUGGUUGGCUUGAGUUUGGGAGAGGGAUGCGGAAUUCCAGGUGUAGCGGUGAAAUGCGUAGAUAUUCGGAAGAACACCAGUGGCGAAGGCGACUCACUGGACACAUAUUGACGCUGAGGUGCGAAAGCGUGGGGAGCAAACAGG